CAGAGUCUCAUCCUGUUGCCCAGGCUGGAGUGCAAUGGCGCGAUCUCGCCUCACUGCAACCUCUGCCUUCUGGGUUCAAGCGAUUCUCCUGCCUCAGCCUUCCGAGUAGCUGGGAUUACAGGCAUGCCACUACACUCAGCUAAUUUGUUGUAUCUUUAGUAGAGACGGGGUUUCACCAUGUUGGCCAGGCUGGUCUCGAACUCUUGACCUCAUGAUCCACCCACCAUGGCCUCCCAAAGUUCUGGGACUACAGGCGUGAGCCACUGCGUCCAGCCAAAAAAUUUUUAAUAUAUGGUUGUUUAAAUCCAUGUAUAUAGAACCCAUGUAUUUGGAAACUGCUGAAGUUUUCAGUUGCUUUGUAAGAAAAUUUGGGAUACUGCCAUCAGAAACACAGUCUAUAUCUCUUAUAAUUUUGUUCAUUCAUUUUAGAAGUACUAUAUUAAUUAUAUAUUGUUGUAAAUUACUCCAAUAUUUAGCAACUUAAAACUGCAAACAUUUAUUAUCUUAGAAAUCCUGUAGAUCAUCAGUUUGGGAGCAGCUUAGAUGGCUGGUAUUGGCUCAAGGUCUCAUAACUGUGUAGUCAAGCUGUGAGCUGGGCCUGAAUUCUCCUCUAAAGGCUUGGCUAGGGCAGAAUUUGCUUCCAAAGUCACUUGCAAGAUUUUUGGCAGACAUCAGUUUCGUGUGGGCUGUAGGACUGAUAAUGUCAACUCACUGUUGGCUGUUGGCUCUAUGGACCUUUCUGUAAGACACCUCACAACAUGGUAGCUGGCUUCACCCAGAGCAAAUGAUCUAAGACAAAUUGAGGAAGAGUGCACCUCAGACAUAUGACCUAAUCUCAGAAGUAAUAUUACUUCUGAUGUAUUUUUAAGGAUGCUUUAUUGAAAUGAUCUACAAAAUUUGCAAAUAUUUAAUGUAUACAUUUUGAUGGUUUGAACAUAUGUAUACACCACUGAUAUCAUCCCCACAAUCAAGGUACUAAAAAUACCCAUUACUUCCAGAAAUUUCUUUGUGUUCUGUUGUGUUUUCUUGUAUGUGUCUCUGUGUGUGUGUAUAUGUGUGUGUGUGAUAAGAAUACCUUAACACGAGACCUAUCCCCUUAACAUAUUUCAAAGUGCACAAUACUGUAUUGUUAAUUAUAGUUACCAUGCUGUACAACAUAUUUCUAUACCUUAUUUGUCUUGCAUAACUGAAACUUUACAUCCAUUUAGCAACAAUUUCCCAUUUCCUCCUCCCCCAUCUACUAACAACCAGUAUUCUAUUUCUGCUUGUAUGAAUUUGACUACUUUAGAUACCUCAUAUACGUGGGAUUAUGCAGCAUUUGCCCUUCUAUGACUGGCUUAUUUAACUUAGUGGUAUAUCCUCUAGGUCCAUUCAUGUUGUCUCAAAUAGAAUUUACUUUUUUAAGGCUGAAUAAUAUUCCACUGUAUGUAUACAACAUUUUCUUUAUUUAUCUUUCAAUGGAUAUUUGAAUUGUUUCCAUAUCUUGGCUAUUGUGAAUGAUGCUGCAGUUAACAAGGGGGUACAGAUAUCUCUCCAAGAUUCUGAUUUCAAUUAUUUCAUAUAUAUACAAUCAGAAGUAGAAUUUUGGGAUCACAAGGUAGUUCUAUUUUUAAUUUUUUUUGGAAAAUAUCUAUACCAUUUUCUAUGUUAUCUAAACCAGUUUACAUUACACCUAAUAGUGUCUAAAGAAUUACAAUUUCUUUACAUCUUUACUAACACUUAUCAUUUUCAUUGGAAAUGAGUCACUGAAUCCAGCCCACACACAAGACAAGGUAAUUAUAUACAGGCCUGGAUAGCAAGAGGUAGAGAUGAUUGGGGUUCAUCUCAGAGGCUGCCUUCUACAGGGUCCCCUGUAACUCCCAAUGAUUCACACCCCUCUGACAUUUGAGAUACACUGUCUCAUUUCCAAGGCCACUCAAAGUCUCAUUUUACUAUAGCAUCAGCACAAACUCCAAAAUCUUAUUCUUUAAAUGAGGUCCAGGUGUUGAUAAGGCUUCUCAGGUGUAAUGUCUUAAGUACAACUAUUUGAACACAGUUUAUCUUGACCUGUGAAAUUGAAGAUAUAAACUAUCUGUUUCCCUGCCACACACCUGCCAUACAAUGGUGGGAUAGACACAGGAUAACCACUAUAGACACUCCUAUUAAAAACCCUAAAACUAGGAAGCUCAAGUGAGUCACUGGUCUGUAGAAUUCCUGAAAUUCAAGUGGACUACUGUUGAGAGUUUCUUAAAUAGUUUCAAGGCCUGGGAAUAAAUCUCCAUGGCUCUGAAAUCUACCUUUUAGGCUCUUUUAAGUCAUGUUUACUUUUGUAUGAAAUGUGGCACAUAUUCACAGCUGAGCAGUCCUCUCAGCCUGCUUCGCAUUUCCAAUAUUCAUUGGAAUUUGUUUCCAUUCUAAUUGUUAGAAUCUCAUUUCUUCCUAAUCAAUGUCCUAACUUUAAUAAAAGAGAGCCUAACAUGUUUAAGAGUUCAUCGUGCUUGUGGUCAGCCACCCAAAAGAUUAAACUUUAAUUUUUAGAAAUAUUGGUCCUGUGGCUUCAGGAAGAGAGCUCUUUUUCUCCAGGUCAUUCAUAAAGGCUUUCAUGUCUCUUAUGUAAGGCCUUGAGCUAGGAAUUUUAAGUAACAAGCUUAUCAUUGUCUUUCCUUAAGCAUUCCAGUGCAGUUAGAUGCAACUAAACAAACAACCAUAUAAUUCUCUUAUUUUAACUGUAAUAUUCUGUCAGGGCAAAUGCAUCAUCACCCAGAGCCUUGCCUAUAUUAGAAGCAUCUUAGCAUGAUAAUUUGAGUAACUGUUUUGCCACUGCAUGCCAUGUACUUUCAGUGCUUUCUUUACCAUUGGAAGCAAAGUCAAUGUUUUUAUAUCAAAUCAGAUUAGAGAACUCAUGUUCUAUGGUUUGAAUAUGUCCCCUCCAAAAUUAAUGUGUUGCUAGUGAGAUAGUAUUGAGGUGGAACCUUUAAGAGGUAAUUGAGCCGUAAGAGCUCCUCCCUCACAUAUGUGAUUAAAGCCUCUACUAAAGAAGCUUCACACGGUGUUCAGUCUCUUGCCCUUCCACUUUCCACGUGAGGACACAGUGUCCCCCCAUCCAGAGAGUAAAGCCCUCACCAAAUAACUGAACCUGUCAGCACCUUUGUCUCGGACUUUUCAGGAUCCAGAACUGUGAGAAAGCAAUUUCUUUUCUUUAUAAACUACCCAAUUUAUGAUAUUUUUUGUUACAUUAGCACAAAGUGGACUAAGACAUCAUCUCAUAAAUCAUAGAAUCAAUUUAGAGAACUCAUCCUUAAGAGUCUUUUUCUGGAAUCAUUCCCAAUGCUGAAUUACAUGUCACUUAGGGUUCAAUCAGAGAAGUGGAACCAAUAGUGGAUAAUAGAGAUUGCUACUUACACCAUUAUUAAUUCCCUAACCCAAAACUCCAAGGUCCACAUGUCAUUUUCGUGAAAUAUCAAUUGUGGAAGAAACUUUGUGUCCUUUUGUUAGGCUCAGGUAAUCGAUCCUGACUCUCCUCUCAUGGUCAGCCAAUUAAUAUCAUUUAGCUUGUAAUGUCCCUUGAUCAGGGAUACGCAGAUUCAGCUGACAAAUUUCCAGAAUUUUGAACUUUAGGAAGAGAAAGUUGGGUCUCUACCACCAAAGAGACCUCUAGUUAAAUAAAUUGGUCCAUACUUUCCAGAUCUCUGAAUAUUAAAAACAAGGUAUAGUGCAGUCAUGCCAUGUUGAAACAAUUUUUUCUCUAAAAGUGUUUAUUACUAUAUUUAAUUUGUAUAAACUGAGUUUCUCUAAAGUCUCAAAAAACCAAAGAUAUAUUUCUACAAGGUGAUCUCUUUCUGUCUAUGUAGAGAAGUGGCUAGAAGCUUCUUCAAAUUGAGAAAGACCAAAGUUCUUUAUUGUGUUUGGUGAAGGAGAAGAAGAAAUAUUCCUGCUUCCCUGGUCUUAAUAUUAUCAAAAUCUCUCUCACAGUUUCUCAACAGCUUUUAUGAAAACAAAUUCAAAAUAUUGGAAGAAGUGACUGACACACCAGAUGUACAGAUAUUAAUGCAAGGACACAGGAAAUACAAAAAAGCAAGAAAAUAUGACACAUCCUAAGGGAUACAAUAAUUAUCCAGCAAUAGAUCCCAAUCAAAAAGAAAUUAACACAUUCUGGGAAAAGUAAUUUAAAGUAUUGAUUCUAAAGAAGUUCAGGGAGAUUCAAGAGAAUUUUGAAAAGCAAUUCAAAUAAAUUGAAAAAACAAUUCAGGAUAUAAUAAUAAAUUAAUAAGAUAGAUAUCAUAGAAAAAGAACCAAACAAAAUUUCUGGAACUAAAGAAUUUAUUGAAUAAAUGCAAAUAAAUACAUUUAAAGGCUUCACGAAUAGACUAGACCAAGUAGAAUUAAGAAUCUCAUAACUUGAAGACAGACAAAUAUAAAAGAAUUUAAAAAAUGAAUAAAGCCUUUGUAAUAUAUGGGACACCAUAAAGCAACCAAAUUUUUGCACUAUUGCAGUUCCAAAGAGCAAAAAGAAAAGGAAAAGUUUAGAAAACCCAUUUAACAAAUAAUAGGUGGAAACUUCCUAAGUCGAGCCAAAUAUUUAGACAUCAAGAUACAGAAGGCUCUGAGAUCACCAAGCAGAUAUAAUGCAAAAAGGUCUUCUCCAUGGCACAUUACAGUCAAACUGUCUAAAGUCUAAGGCAAAGGGAGAAUUUUAAAAACUGGAACAGUAUAAUGUCUAUAAAGAAACUUGCAUUAGACUAAUGGAAAAUUACUCAGCAGAAAUCUUACAGGCCAGUAGAAAUGGAAUAAUACAUUCAAAGUGCUGAAAGAAAAUAAAAACCUGCUAGCCCAGGUUUUUGAAGGCAUCAAAAUUAGCCUUCAUAAAUAAAGAAAUAAAUUCUUUCCCAGACAUGCAAAAGCUGAGAGAAUUCAUCAACACUAGGUCAGUCCUAUGAGAAAUACUCAAGAAACCCAGAAGUGAAAGGACGGCAAUAUGAUCAUGAAACCACACAAAGGUAUAAAACUCAAUGGUAAAGCAUACACACAAAGGAGAAAGAGAGGAUUCAAAUGGUACUACAGAGAAAACUACCAAAGCACAAUGACAAACAAUGGCAGAAAAAGGAACAAAGAAUACACCAAACAACCAAAAAACAAUUAACAAUAUGACAGGAACAAAACCUGUUAUAUCAAUAAUAUCAGUAAUAACUUUGAAUGUACAUGGAUUAAAUUCUCCAUUUAAAAGAUAGAGACUGAAUGAAUUUAAAAACAUGAUUCAAGUAUAUGCUGCAUACAAGAAAUGCACUUUACCCGUAAAGAUACAUAUAGAUUGAAAGUAAAGGAAUGUAGGCCAGGCACGGUGGCUCAUGCCUGUAAUCCCAGCACUUUGGGAGGCCGAGGCGGGUGGAUCAGGAGGUCAGGAGAUCGAGACCAUCCUGGCUAACGGUGAAACCCCGUCUCUACUAAAGAAAAUGCAAAAAAUUAGUCAGGCAUGGUGGUGGGUGCCUGUAGUCCCAGCUACUUGGGAGGCUGAGGCAGGAGAAUGGCAUGAACCCAGGAGGCGGAAAUUGCAGUGAGCCGAGAUCGCACCACUCCACUUCAGCCUGGGUGACAAAGCGAGACUCUGUCUCAAAAAAAAAAAAAAAAAAAAAAAAAAAGAAAGAAAGAAAGUAAAGGGAUGUAAAAAGAUAUUCCACACAAGCAGAAAACACAAAUGAGCAUAAGUAGAGAUGCUUAUAUCUGAUAAAACAUAUUUAAUCCAAAAACAGUUAAAAAAAAAGACAAAGAAGGUUGUUAUAUAAUGUUAAAGGGAUUAAUCUAGCAAGAGGAUAUGAGAAUUCUAAAUAUAUAUGAUGUAUAUGCACUCAACAUGGAGCAUGGAGAUUCAUAAAGCAAAUAUUAUUAAAUUUAAAGAUAGAGAGAUUCCAAUACAAUAAUAAUGGGGGAUUUCAAUACCCCACUCAUAGCACUAGACAGAUCACCUAGAUACAAAACACAGAAACAUUGGAUUUAAACUGGACUUUAGACCAAGUGAACCUAACAGAAAUGUAUAGAGCAUUAUAUUCAGCAGCUGCAGAAUACACAUUCUUCUUGUCAGCACAUGGAACAUUCUCAAGGAUAAACCAUAUAUUAGGCCACAAAACAAGUCUCAACAAAUUGUUAGAAAUCAAAAUCAUAUCAAGUAUCUUAAGUAUUUUCUCAAACCACAAUAAGAUGAACUGGAAAUAAAUACUAAUAAUAACUCACAAAAACUUUACAAAUACAUAGAAAUUAAACAAUGUGUUCCUGAAUGACCAUUGGGUCAAUGGAGAAAUUAAGAUAAAAAUUUGGAAAAAAAUAAGUCUUGACACAAAUGAGAUUAAACCAUAACAGAUCAAAACCUGUAGAAUACAACAAAAGCAAUACUAAAGUGGAAGUUUAUAGCAACAAAUACCUACAGCAAAAAAAGUAGAAGUAUUUCAAAUAAACAAUUUUAUGAUGUCCCUAAAAGAACUAGAAGAGUGAGAAUACAUAAAACCUAAAAUUAUCAAAAGGAAAGAAACUGUAAAGAUCAGAACAGACCUAAAUGAAAUAUAGACUAGAAAACAGUACAAAGCAUCAAGGAAAUGAGAAGUUGGUUCUUUGAAAAUAUAAGCAAAACUGAUAAAUUCCCUCCUAGAUUAACAAAGAAAAGAAGAGAGAGCACCCAAAUAAGCAAAAUCAGACUUUAAAAAGACGUUACAACUGAUACCACAGAAUUACAAAAGAUUAUCAGAGACUAAAUGUAGGUAUGAGGCUAUGAAUCAGAGGCUAUAUGCUAUAUGAAAAACUAUAUGCUAACAAACUGAAAAUCCAGAGGCAAUAAUUUCUGGAAAUGUACAACCUACCAAGAUUGAAUGAAAAAGAAAUAGGAAACAUAAACAUACCAAUAAUAAGUAACAAGACUGAAUCUGUAAAAAAAAGUCUCCCAACAAAGAAAAGUGUAGGAUCUGAUGAAUUCACUGCAUAAUCCUACAAAAUAUAUAAGAAAGAACCAUUACAAAUCUUCUGCAAACUAUUCCAAUAAAAUUGAAGAGGAGGAAAUACUUCCUAACUCAUUCUACAAGUCUAGCAUAACCUUAAUAACAAAAGCAGAUAAGCACGCAACAAUGACAACAACAAAAACUACAGGUGACUAUCCCUGAUACACAUAGAUGCAAAAAUUCUCAAUGAAAUACUAGCAAUCUGAAUUUAGCAGCGCAUCAAAAAGACUGUACACCAUGAUAAAGUGGCACUUAUCCCAGGGAUGCAAGAAUGGUUUACCAUAUGCAAAUCAAUAAACAUGAUACAUCACAUAAAUAAAAUAAGGUCAAACACCAUAUGAUUAUCUCAACAGAUGCAGAAAAAAGAUAAAAUUUAACGUCCCUUCAUGAUAAAUACUCUCCACAAACUAAUCAUAGUCAACAUAUUAAAAGCCAUAUAUGACAAACCAAACAGCAUUAUACUGAAUGGGGAGAAGUUGAAAGCUUUUCUUCUAAGAACUGGAACAAGACAAGGUGCCUACUUUCACCACUCCUGUUCAACAUAGUACUGGAAGUCCUAUCCAGAAUAAUCAUGCAAGAAAAAAAAUAAAAGACAACCAAAUUGGAAAGAGGAAAGUCGAAUUGUGCCCUUUUGUAGAUGACAUGAUUUGAAAUUUAGAAAAGGAUCCCACCAAAAUCUCUUAGAGCUGAUAAGCAAAUUUGGUAAAAUUUCAGAAUAUGAAAUCAACAUACAAAAAUCAAUAACAUUUCUAUGUAUCAAUAAAGAAAUUAAGAAGGAAUUCAAUUUACAAUAGCUACAGAAAAACACUUAGGAAAUCAUUUAACCAAGGGAGUAAAAGCUCACUACAAGAAAAACCACAAAACAUUGAUGAAAGAAAUUGGAGAGGACACAAACAAAUGAAAAAAAAUCUCAUGCUCAUAGAUCAGAAGAAUUAAUAUCAUUAUAAUGACCAUACUACCGAAAGCAAUAUAAAUAUAUAUAGAAUGAAAUCUCUACAUAGUUUCAGUGUUAUUUUUCACAAAAAUAGAAAAACCAUAAAAUUCAUAUGAAACCAAAAAAGAGUCAGAAUAGUCAAUCUAAUCCUAAGCAAAGUGAACAAAGCUGGAGGCAUCACACUACUUGACUUCAAUAUAUAUUACAAGGGUCUGGGCAUGGUGGCCCAUGCCUGUAAUCCUAUCACUUUGAGAGGCCGAAGUGGCAGGAUUGCUUGAGCCCGGGAGCUUGUGAUCAAGCAAUAUGGUAGGAACUCUUCUUUACAAAAAAAUUUAAAAUAAUUAGCCAUUUGUGGUGGCAUGCACAUUUAGUCCCAGCUACUUGAGAAGCUGAAGUGGAUCACUUGAGCCUGGGAGCUCCAGGAUACAGUGAGCUGAGACUGUGCCACUGUACUCUAGCCUCUGUGAUAGAGUGAGAUCCUGUCUCAAACACACACAAGCACACACACAAGUGCGCACACACACACACACACACAUAUAUAUCUAUAUCUAUAUCUAUCUAUCUAUCUAUCUAUCUAUCUAUCUAUCUAUCUAUCUAUCUAUCUAUCUAUCUAUAUCAAGGCUAUAGUAACCAGAACAGCAUGGUAUUGGUAUGAAAAUAGAAACACAGACCGAGGGAACAGAAUAGAGUACCCAGGAAUAAAUCCACAUAGUUAUAGUUAAUUGUUUUUCAGCAAGGCACCAAGAACAUACACUGGGGAAAGCACAUUUCUCCAACAAGUGGUGCUGGGAACAUUGGAUAUCCAUAUGCGGAAGAAUAAAACUGAUGGUCUGGGCAACGAUUUUAUGGUUAAGACCUCAAAAGCACAGACAACUAAAACAAAAGUAAACAAACAGUUCUAUAUUAAACUAAAAGGCUUCUACAUAGCAGAUGAAACAACCAACAGAGCGAAGAGGCAACCUGUUGAAUAGGAGAAAAUAUCUGCAAACUAUUCAUCCUGACAAAAGACUAACAUCCAGAAUAUACAAGAAACUCAAACAACUCGACAGUAUAGAAGCAAACAAUUGCAUUAAAAAGUGGGCAAAAAAAUGAAUAGAUAAUUUUCAAAAGAGGAUUACAAAUAUUUAACGGUAUAUGAAAAAAUGAUCAAUAUCAAAGCAUCAGAGAAAUGCAAAUCAAAACCAUAAUGAGAUAUCAAUUUAUUCCAGGUAGAAAUAAAAAGACAAAAAUUAUUAUUGUCUUUAACUUAUUUAACUAGUAUUAACUUGCUGAACUAUUAUUAAAAAUACAAAAAUAAACAGAUGUGGACAAGGAUGUGGAGAAAGGGGAACCCUUGUACAUUGUUGAUGGGAAUGUAAGUCAAUACAACCACUAUGAAAAAUGGAAAUGGAAAUGAAAAACGGCAUAGAGAUUUCCCAAAAAAGUAAAAAUAGAAUUUUUUUAUAUAUAGAACUUUAUAUAUAGAAGUUUUUGUGUAUAUGUGUGUAUAUAUAUAUAUAUAUAUAUAUAUAUAUAUAUACACACACACAAAAGAAUACUAUUCAACAAUAAAAAGAAUGAAAUCAUGUCAUUUACAACAAAAUGGAUGCCAAUUGGAGGUUAUUAUGUUAGGUGAAACAAUCCAGGCACAAAAAAAUUCCACAGGUUCUCACUCACAUUUGGGAGCUAAAAAACUUGGUCCCAUGAAGACAGUGAAUAGAAUGAUAGAUACUAUAGACUAGGAAGGGUGUGCAGAUGGGAGGGAGAGAGGAAGAGAGGUUGGUGAAUGGGUAUAAAUUUACAGUAAUUUAGAAGUAAGCUCUCAUGUUCAGUAGCGAAAUGAAUUGACUGUAGUUAGCAACAAUGCAUUGUAUACUUCAAUGUAGCAAGAAGAACUUAAAAUGUUACCAACACAGAAUUGCUAAAUGCUCAAGGUGAUGGAU
rnacentral:lncRNA from 10 species